AGGACGAACGCUGGCGGCGUGCUUAACACAUGCAAGUCGAACGGAAAGGCCCGCUUGCGGGUACUCGAGUGGCGAACGGGUGAGUAACACGUGGGUAACCUGCCCUCAGCUUUGGGAUAACUCUCGGAAACGGGUGCUAAUACCGAAUGUUGACAUUGCCUCGCAUGGGGUUUUGUUGAAAGUUUUUCGGCUGGGGAUGGGCCCGCGGCCUAUCAGCUUGUUGGUGGGGUGAUGGCCUACCAAGGCGACGACGGGU
rnacentral:rRNA from 1 species